CCUUCCCCACAUGAAUUCUCAGUAACUUUCAAGAGCUACCGGUGAGAAGAGGGCAGUUAUACUUGGAGACAGUGGAGAUGUACCAGAGAGAAGCCAGGACUUGGGAGUUUCCCCUCAAUCACCAUGCUGUGCUGAUGUGAGAGCUCUGCCUGUGUAGCCCAGAGGCUAGUACACAGCAGUUUCUCAGUAAUUUGUGUUAAACGGAAAAGCAAAUUAGAUGUGGACAGAAAGGGAAAAUGAUGAGCUUAAAAGGAUUCUGCCAUUG